rnacentral:rRNA from 1 species
AUACGGAGGGUGCAAGCGUUAUUCGGAAUCACUGGGCGUAAAGGACGCGUAGGCGGGUUGGCAAGUCAGAUGUGAAAUCCUACAGCUUAACUGUAGAACUGCAUUUGAAACUGCUAACCUAGAGUAUGGGAGGGGGAGAUGGAAUUAGUGGUGUAGGGGUAAAAUCCGUAGAUAUCACUAGGAAUACCGAAAGCGAAGGCGAUCUCCUGGAACAGAACUGACGCUAAGGCGUGAAAGCGUGGGGAGCAAACAGGAUUAGAAACCCUAGUAGUCC